UACGGGGGGGGCAAGCGUUGUUCGGAAUUACUGGGCGUAAAGGGCUCGUAGGUGGCCAACUAAGUCAUACGUGAAAUCCCUCGGCUUAACCGGGGAACUGCGUCUGAUACUGGAUGGCUUGAGGUUGGGAGAGGGAUGCGGAAUUCCAGGUGUAGCGGUGAAAUGCGUAGAUAUCUGGAGGAACACCGGUGGCGAAGGCGGGUCUCUGGACAGUUCCUGACGCUGAGGCACGAAGGCCAGGGGAGCAAACGGG
rnacentral:rRNA from 1 species